rnacentral:rRNA from 1 species
GAUGAACGCUGGCGGCGUGCCUAAUACAUGCAAGUCGAGCGAACGGACGAGAAGCUUGCUUUUCUGAUGUUAGCGGCGGACGGGUGAGUAACACGUGGAUAACCUACCUAUAAUACUGGGAUAACUUCGGGAAACCGGAGCUAAUACCGGAUAAUAUUUUGAACCGCAUGGUUCAAAAGUGAAAGACGGUCUUGCUGUCACUUAUAGAUGGAUCCGCGCCGCAUUAGCUAGUUGGUAAGGUAACGGCUUACCAAGGCAACGAUGCAUAGCCGACCUGAGAGGAUGAUCGGCCACACUGGAACUGAGACACGGUCCAGACUCCUACGGGAGGCAGCAGUAGGGAAUCUUCCGCAAUGGGCGAAAGCCUGACGGAGCAACGCCGCGUGAGUGAUGAAGGUCUUCGGAUCGUAAAACUCUGUUAUUAGGGAAGAACAUAUGUGUAAGUAACUGUGCACAUCUUGACGGUACCUAAUCAGAAAGCCACGGCUAACUACGUG